UGUUUUGGAACGUAAAACUACCGUAGUUGAAAUUAUGGAUGGUGAUCACUGUAACCAUUGUUUGAUUAAAGGACGUCGCAUUUGGGUUGAAGACACUACUGAAAUCGAUGUUCUCUAGUCCUUGAGGCUGUAAUGUAAUUUCUGGGUCUCUGAGCUUGAAGAUGGUGAGUGCUAAACUGGUGAUGACUGCGGCAACAAUUAUUAAGAAAAUUAUUAUCAGUAGACACCAUAU
rnacentral:lncRNA from 1 species